rnacentral:rRNA from 1 species
AUUGAACGCUGGCGGCAGGCUUAACACAUGCAAGUCGAGCGGGGUGAUGGUGCUUGCACUAUCACUUAGCGGCGGACGGGUGAGUAAUGCUUAGGAAUCUGCCUAUUAGUGGGGGACAACAUCUCGAAAGGGAUGCUAAUACCGCAUACGUCCUACGGAAGAAAGCAGGGGAUCACUUGUGACCUUGCGCUAAUAGAUGAGCCUAAGUCGGCUUAGCUAGUUGGGGGGGUAAAGGCCUACCAAGGCGACGAUCUGUAGCGGGUCUGAGAGGAUGAACCGCCACACUGGGACUGAGACACGGUCCAGACUCCUACGGGAGGCAGCAGUGGGGAAUAUUGGACAAUGGGGGGAACCCUGAUCCAGCCAUGCCGCGUGUGUGAAGAAGGCCUUAUGGUUGUAAAGCACUUUAAGCGAGGAGGAGGCUCUUUUGGUUAAUACCCAAGAUGAGUGGACGUUACUCGCAGAAUAAGCACCGGCUAACUCUGUGCCAGCCGCCGCCGUAA